rnacentral:rRNA from 1 species
UACGUGGGGGGCAAGCGUUGUUCGGAAUUACUGGGCGUAAAGGGCUCGUAGGCGGCCAACUAAGUCAUACGUGAAAUCCCUCGGCUUAACCGGGGAACUGCGUCUGAUACUGGAUGGCUUGAGUUCGGGAGAGGGAUGCGGAAUUCCAGGUGUAGCGGUGAAAUGCGUAGAUAUCUGGAGGAACACCGGUGGCGAAGGCGGUUCUCUGGGCAUGACCUGACGCUGAGGAGCGAAAGUGUGGGGAGCGAACAGG